GGCAGUUCUCGGGUGGUGCACCCUAGAAUCAGGCUCCCUCCUCUCUGUGUCACCCGAGAACCGCA
rfam:Myotis brandtii contig153804, whole genome shotgun sequence.